GAUGAACGCUGGCGGCGUGCCUAAUACAUGCAAGUCGAGCGAACAGACGAGGAGCUUGCUCCUCUGACGUUAGCGGCGGACGGGUGAGUAACACGUGGAUAACCUACCUAUAAGACUGGGAUAACUUCGGGAAACCGGAGCUAAUACCGGAUAAUAUAUUGAACCGCAUGGUUCAAUAGUGAAAGACGGUUUUGCUGUCACUUAUAGAUGGAUCCGCGCCGCAUUAGCUAGUUGGUAAGGUAACGGCUUACCAAGACAACGAUGCGUAGCCGACCUGAGAGGGUGAUCGGCCACACUGGAGCUGAGACACGGUCCAGACUCCUACGGGAGGCAGCAGUAGGGAAUCUUCCGCAAUGGGCGAAAGCCUGACGGAGCAACGCCGCGUGAGUGAUGAAGGUCUUCGGAUCGUAAAACUCUGUUAUUAGGGAAGAACAAAUGUGUAAGUAACUAUGCACGUCUUGACGGUACCUAAUCAGAAAGCCACGGCUAACUACGUG
rnacentral:rRNA from 1 species